AUUAUAUAUACUUACAUUACUGCUGCAGCCCGUUAUAUCAUAAUAUAUUGUAAUAUAGGUAUGUUUAUGUGUGUGUAAUGUACCUAUACUUUCAGCCAUUAUAUACAUAUGUUGCAUAUGUUGUUAUUAUUCGAAACAUCGCGGUAAGUAUUGUAUAUUAGCUCGUGUCAGCGCGGUAACAUAAUCGUUUUAGAUAUUUGCGGCCUAUUAUUAUAUUAUAUAUGAAUAUAUGAUCAUACUCGUGUAUUGAUAUUUUGAUUUUUUUUUUUGAAAUUUUUUCCUAUUGGACAACAUAAUACAUACACUCUGGCACUCUGCAGCAGCAACAGCGAUAGCGAUUGGUAUAGCUACAAUAAUAGUCGUAUAAUCUAUGACAGAGGCUCGAGCGGAGAAAUCUAUACGUCUCCCUGUAAUCAUGAUAUAGGUACCUAUAUACAUAUUAUUUAUUAUAAUAUAUUGUAUAUACUGUUGUAACGGCAAACAACGCUCAUUGUAUAUAAAUACAUUAUAAACUGUACCUGUAUUAUGUAGAAUAUAUCAAAGAGGUACGUGCAAAAAUGUCCGUUUUAAAUAUUAUAAUAUUAUUAUUAUUAUUGUUUUUUUUUUUUUUUUUUGAACGUGAUAUCCGUGAUAAAAAUGAAAAAAACAAUUCGAGCUGAAUUUGAACAGUACAUUUGUUCUUUGAUUUUACACGCAAUGUCGCUGUAUAGUAAAUGUAUAUAUUGACGCUUUACGUUCAGUUAUGUGGUUGAAAAACGACUUCACAAACUUCGUGUACCUAUAACUGACCGGUGCACUGUAAGUGCAGUUACACAAAUGUAACGCUAUUUAUUUUACAUUUUUAUCUCAUACGAGUAUAUACGUCAUAUUCGUCCUAACAAUAUUCAACUCAACGGAAGACAUUAGUAAUAAUUUGUUAUAAUAUAUUUUGUGGACCACCCUAGCUGCAAUGGUCCAUCUCACUGCAGUUGAGCAAGCGAUGAUUGAUCCGUCUACUUAGCUGAGAUGUUAGGUGCAGAACUUGAGCCAUUAGAGGUAAUCGGGUGAAAAACAAAAGUGUUAUCAUGCAAUUAAUACAAAAUGACAGCCGUAAAUCUGAAUCACAUAUUUAAUAUUGGCAAUUGAGACAAAAUGAAAUUUUGAUAAAAAAUAACCAAAAACGUAAUCAUUUUCAAAGAUUAUGAAGCAUCGCCGCGUAAAUAGGAAAUAACUGAACCAAUUCAAUACGAGUCAAUAAUAUAACAAAAUUUGUUGGCGAUGUGCUGAGAAAAUAUUUCCAAUAAAAAUAUAUACAAUUUUAUUCUGUAGAGUGCAUUAGUGGAUUUGGCAGAAAAAAAAAUAGAAAACUGCAGUCGUCUGAGCUACCGUAGUCCCAGAAGCCACAAAAACAAAAAUAAGGACCCACAGCCAAUUAUCUGCCUCUGGACAUCUAUAGGUACCUAUAUAUGUAUAGACUAUACUAAUUCGGACUCCAGUGUGGAUAAUUAUUCAGACAUAGACACAUAGUGUAUUCAUGUACAGUGACAAACCGACGAUCUCGGUUUUGACUACCGUCCGACGCGUGUGGUAUAAACCCUGUCGGUAUAAAUACGAUGAUGGUAAUUAAUAAUAACAUCCAGAAUCAUAUUAUUAUAAUACGCGAGUACCAGAUGUAUAAAAGCAACUAUAUACGAGUACGUGAGCACCUCAUCAGCGGUCCGGUCUCGUAUUGAGAUUUAAGAUCGGACGGCGACGGCCGAAGAGGAACCACAAAACUUGACGACGACAACGACUACGUCGUGAAUGAAUGAUUAUUGACAAUUCGUCUGCUCAAGCGCGUCUUGGGAGGCCUGUCUCAUCAAUCCGAAUAGCAGGUACCGUCGGCAAUUUGCCAUCUGCACAAGUGACCACCGCCGACGUCUCGAAGUGAGCGGCCAAUACUGCACGGGACAUGUCGUGAUGGUAUAUCGUGCGUGUGCUUCGAUACGAUUGCAGACCAUUAACUUCGACUCCCGUUCCUUGGCCGCAUUUAUUCGUAAGCGGAUACAGACGCGUUUGUAUAAAAUAAUAUUAAAACAGUUUGUUUAGAUUUGAUUUUCUGAUCAUAGUUUUUUUUGUCAGCGUUUUUUCUUCUCACAUCGUUGGUUAUUUUAUCAGUGAUAGUUUGUAUUUUUAAUACUGUGAUCUAUGAUACAGUCUUGCAUUAC